rnacentral:rRNA from 1 species
AGAGUUUGAUCCUGGCUCAGAUUGAACGCUGGCGGCAUGCUUUACACAUGCAAGUCGAACGGCAGCACGGAGAGCUUGCUCUCUGGUGGCGAGUGGCGAACGGGUGAGUAAUACAUCGGAACGUGUCCGUUUGUGGGGGACAACCAUCCGAAAGGAUGGCUAAUACCGCAUAAGACCUGAGGGUGAAAGCCGGGGACCGCAAGGCCUGGCGCGAACGGAGCGGCCGAUGACUGAUUAGCUAGUUGGUGGGGUAAAGGCCUACCAAGGCGACGAUCAGUAGCUGGUCUGAGAGGACGACCAGCCACACUGGAACUGAGACACGGUCCAGACUCCUACGGGAGGCAGCAGUGGGGAAUUUUGGACAAUGGGGGCAACCCUGAUCCAGCCAUGCCGCGUGCGGGAAGAAGGCCUUCGGGUUGUAAACCGCUUUUGUCAGGGACGAAAAGGGAGACGUGAACAACGUCUUCUGCUGACGGUACCUGAAGAAUAAGCACCGGCUAACUACGUGCCAGCAGCCGCGGUAAUACGUAGGGUGCGAGCGUUAAUCGGAAUUACUGGGCGUAAAGCGUGCGCAGGCGGUUGGGUAAGACAGAUGUGAAAUCCCCGGGCUUAACCUGGGAACUGCAUUUGUGACUGUCCAACUAGAGUAUGUCAGAGGGGGGUGGAAUUCCACGUGUAGCAGUGAAAUGCGUAGAUAUGUGGAAGAACACCGAUGGCGAAGGCAGCCCCCUGGGGCAAAACUGACGCUCAUGCACGAAAGCGUGGGGAGCAAACAGGAUUAGAUACCCUGGUAGUCCACGCCCUAAACGAUGUCAGCUGAUUGUUCGGGAAGCAAUUCCUGGGUAACCAAGCCAACGCGUGAAGCUGACCGCCUGGGAAGUACGGUCGCAAGAUUAAAACUCAAAGGAAUU